rnacentral:rRNA from 1 species
UACGAAGGGGGCUAGCGUUGCUCGGAAUCACUGGGCGUAAAGGGUGCGUAGGCGGGUCUUUAAGUCAGGGGUGAAAUCCUGGAGCUCAACUCCAGAACUGCCUUUGAUACUGAAGAUCUUGAGUUCGGGAGAGGUGAGUGGAACUGCGAGUGUAGAGGUGAAAUUCGUAGAUAUUCGGAAGAACACCAGUGGCGAAGGCGGCUCACUGGCCCGAUACUGACGCUGAGGCACGAAAGCGUGGGGAGCAA